AUGAGUGAGGUGGGCUCGGCCCGUGACGGCCGGGCUGCGGCGCGGUGUGCGGAAGAGGGCGCCCCUCGGGCGCGGGGGAAGGGGCUGGGGCGGGAGCAGAUGGCAGCAAUUACGGUCCCGCUGCCCGCUCAGGGCGCGAGGCCGGAAGAUCGGCUGCGCGGGCCCUGGGGUGGGGGGGCGGGGGCCCCAGCUUCCAGGGGAGAGCGCGUGAGUGCCGCGGUGGGGAAACUUACUUCUCCCGGAACAGGGGCUGGGACACUGGACCAUUCUCCCUCCCCGAGUUGGUUUGGCCCAGUGCCCUCAAAAGCCCCGAACCUGCAGUUAUUUUCAAAGCUGCGAUUUAUUUGCAGGAAGAGCCCUUGGCGCAGGCUGCAGGCUGGGGAGAGGGGAGUUGCACGGAUGUGCGUGUUGUGGCCUAAGUGCCGUGGAGGGGAUGCCUGGAACCUGCGAGCCCAGCUGGAGGCCUUGGCUGACUCCUCACGGAGGAAGGCAGGGGACCUUUCCUCACAAAGGCCGAUGAGUCAGCCUGGACUGUUCCUCAGUCAGGGCUGCUGGCCCUGGAGAGAGGAACAGCAGAUGGCUAGGGUUGGCCCCUGUGGUUCGGGGGCAGGGUCCAAGAGGGCAAGAGGGAGCCCCUGGCCCAAAGGAAGCAACUGGACCGGUGUGGCUCCCUGGCCCUUUCUCCCUUCAGAACUCCUCUCCUGUCCUCACCCUGAACCUCGUCCCGUCCCGUGUCUGUUAGAUCUUGAAUCAGCCUCUGUUAAACACCUCACCCCAGCCCUGCUCACUUCCUUGCACAACUGCAAAGGCUCUCCUUUGCUCUGCUGCUCACUGACAGUAAUCCACAGGAGCACAAGACCUUUAAGAACACAGAUCAGAAACCCACAGAGCAGGCUUUCCCCGACACGUGGCCUUAGCCUUGCAGGUCCCCACGCCCGGAUCGCCCUCUCAGGCUCCUUCACAAGACCGUCGCUCUCCCACUGCCCUUCCACAACCCCACCUGCUCAAUCCCCACUGCCUCGCCACCUUCUGCCUUUCUUCCAGGGGGUUCACCACCUUCUGCAGUUCUCUCAUUGGCCUCAUUUGUGGGUCUGGAAUUCAUACUGGCCUUGGACUCACUGUGUAGCCCAGGCUGGCCUCGAACUCAUGGUGAUCCGUCCGCCUCAGCCUCCUGAGUGCUGGGAUUAUAGGUGUGGGCCACCACGCCAGCUGGAACUCCGCUUUGAUACCUCCUGAACCACAGCCCACUGCUGUGUGGCCAUCCGGGCAGGAGACCUGGCUGUCCUCAAUCAUCACUUCCUCUGCACUUGGCCUGGCACAGAGCAGAAGUCCGUAGGUGUUUGUUGGGUGGAUUCCCGAGUGAGGGGAUGAUCUAGGGAGGAGGAAAAGAUGGAGUGAAUGCAGCAGGGACUAGAGACGCCAACAAUCUCUGAGGCUCAGUUUCUUCAUCUGUAAAAGAUGGUGAUGAGGCUCUGGCCCCCUUUCUGGCUCCAGUGUGAGUCAGCUGCGAUGGGGCAGGAACCCAGAGGCCACUCCCUGCUGUCUAGGCCUGGCUCCAGGAAUGGGUAGGAGGCGCUGAAAUGACCAGAGUUCCCCUCCCCCACCCCCCGUCCCCCAGAAUUUAUAGAUUCUUCAUUGUCCUGCACAAAGGCCUUCUUGGGAGGGGCGGGGUGGGUGAGGAGACAGGGGAAUUAAAAAGUCAGAGGGUGAGUAACAGCCAGCCACACCCAGGGCCCCAUGAAUCCGCCUGGGCCCCUGUGAGACCACUGACUUGCCCUCAGAGGCUUACAGGGCUCCUGCUGCAGGGACCAGCUCGCCCUGCUCUCAGCCCUGGUGGCAGAGGGAUGGGGGCAUGUGAAUGUGUGAGGGGUGGCUCGCCUUGUGCGAUCUCCGAUCUGACCUCUGCGAGUCCUUCCUCCCAUCUUGCUCCCUGGUGGGUGGUCCGCUGUCGUUCUAGUUCGCUGCUGUUGGUUCUGAGCAGGAAAAUGUACAGUCUGCGGGUGCCUGCUUCUCUGAUGAGAAGGUCCCGAGGCCCAGACUCCAGGAAACAGCCUCCUCCCCCACUCUGGCCCCUUGGGUAGAAUUGACAGAUGGUGCCCUGUUAACAGAUGACAUUGGAAAUCGGAAUUACUCAGCUGCUUGUCCCUCUGUCAUCCCCACGGAAGGGGGUGGCCUGCAAACUGGGAACGACAGUGAACUCUAUUUUGAGGGCUAUAGAGGACAGGGAAGGAGAUGCUCCAGGGCACAGGGGACCAGAACCAGGUACACAGAAGAUCUAACUUGGAAUCUCAUCUCUACCACGUACCAGCCAGGUGACCUAGGUGCAUCCAUCACCGUCUGAGCCUCUGCUCCCUCAUCUGUCAAAUGGGUCCAUGGGAAACUGUCCUACUCUCCUCCCUGGCUUUUAGGAAGAAAAUGGGGUGGUUUGUGCUUAUAAAAUGGGCUUUAAAACUUGUGAAGGAGUAAAAAAUGUAAGAAGUUGCUGAUUAUAAACAAUAAAUGGCAGCCCAUUCGUUGUUCAUAAAAUUACUUCUGAAACGUUUUUCUUAAAACAAUGUAGAAUAGAGCAGAAAACAUCACACAGUUUUAUAGAACUUUACUUUUAAUUAUGUGUAUGUCCAAAUGUCCUGGGUUCAGAUGCAAGCAUAUUUACUCUUACUUGUGGUCCAAAAACUUGAAACACUCAGAGUCAAGGAAAUUCUUCAGUGAUGUCUCCAGAAGACAAUGGUAAAUGGAAGGAAAGUAACAAUAUGAAAUGUACCAGGCCAAGAGGAAAGGGUGUGGCCAGGCUGGGGAGACCUGGUUGUGAGCAACUCCAUGGAACUGAGCUUGAUGGCAAGAGUUAGACGGUUUCCUUAGGGUUUGACUGACUGUCCUCUCAAUGGACAGUGAGGCUU
rnacentral:lncRNA from 1 species